rnacentral:rRNA from 1 species
AAGCCAGCUUGACUGCGAGCGUGACGGCGCGAGCAGGUGCGAAAGCAGGUCAUAGUGAUCCGGUGGUUCUGAAUGGAAGGGCCAUCGCUCAACGGAUAAAAGGUACUCCGGGGAUAACAGGCUGAUACCGCCCAAGAGUUCAUAUCGACGGCGGUGUUUGGCACCUCGAUGUCGGCUCAUCACAUCCUGGGGCUGAAGUAGGUCCCAAGGGUAUGGCUGUUCGCCAUUUAAAGUGGUACGCGAGCUGGGUUUAGAACGUCGUGAGACAGUUCGGUCCCUAUCUGCCGUGGGCGCUGGAGAACUGAGGGGGGCUGCUCCUAGUACGAGAGGACCGGAGUGGACGCAUCACUGGUGUUCGGGUUGUCAUGCCAAUGGCACUGCCCGGUAGCUAAAUGCGGAAGAGAUAAGUGCUGAAAGCAUCUAAGCACGAAACUUGCCCCGAGAUGAGUUCUCCCUGACCCUUUAAGGGUCCUGAAGGAACGUUGAAGACGACGACGUUGAUAGGCCGGGUGUGUAAGCGCAGCGAUGCGUUGAGCUAACCGGUACUAAUGAACCGUGAGGCUUAACCUUACAACGCCGAAGGUGUUU